CGGUGCGGGUGAGGGCCCGGUGAGGGGGGCAGGUGAGGGCCGGCCCAGGCGAGGUCUGCAGGCGCGAUGCGGUAACGUGACAGAUUCUUCAGGCUUUAGCAUUUCAGAACGUUAUGUUUACGGUGACGCGAAUUUUUAUCACAGUCUUUAUUGUUUCAGUUGCUACUCACGGAGAUCUGAGUCUUUCCCCCGUGUAAGUGUAAGUGGUAAGACGUCCGCCUGCCUGACCCGGGCAGCCCUGCCGCGGAGGGCAGGACGACGCCAUGGCCAGCACGUUUUGACGCAGUUGGUGAUUUUUCACGUGCCCAGCUGUGUUAUGGCGCGGGUGACCCGACCGUGCCUGCUGGUGGUGGCUCGGUGUCCACGUGACUGCAUCUUGUCCCGGACCAAACAGCGCGCCAGGAUUCUACGUCUUUUCUGAAGCACCUUUCUGUCUCGCUUGGAUUUGAUCAUCGCAUCGUGUUCUCUUGGCUCAGUUUCCUUCCUUUUUGCCUUUUUCUAAGUAUUCUCCCCACCGCGGCUCAAUUCUGUGUGCCCGGAGCCAGAACCGCUGUCCCGAGUGUCCCGAGCCUCCCCUUUGGGCCCUACUGCCUGCUGGGGACUGUCGUCUCCCUCCGCCUCCGGAGACGCCUUCACCGUUCCCCGGCUCCAACAUCUUGUUUCUUUGCUCUCUUACUUUGGUGGACUAGAUGCAUCUUCCAGGAGCUUCGUGGACCAGGGUGCGUGGGAGGCAAACGAAUUUGGCACAUCAGGAGAUGCCUUCCUCACUCUGUCCACACUUGCUUGACCGCGGGGCAGGCGCUCCGUAGCCUGGGGAGGGAGUCGUGUCCCUCAGAGUCCAGACGGCUUUGCUCCGGGGCUGUCUGCGUGUGGCGUUGGCGGGGCACCUGGUGCUGCGCGAGCCUCUCUCCCCUGCUGACGGGCAUCUCCGUCCCGCCCCUCGUGUUCGGGAGUGUUGGGCACCACCUGUGCGAGCAGACGGCUGCUCGUGCCAGGCCGGGGGUUCCUCGCAGGGCCUGACCCUGCCGUCGUGAGAAGCGAGUAGACACGCGUCCCCGGUAUCAGGUUUCAGAACCGCGUCUGGAGCCUCCUGUGAGCCAUGCGACCGUGGGCGAGUCCUUGAACCUCCCCGUGUCUUCAGUUUCCCCUUUGAAAUGGGGGCGUUGGCAGGCCGGCACAGCCUGUGCACGUAGCUGCACAUAACAGCCCCCCUCCCUUGCUCGUGUGGGGGCUCUUUUCUUUAUAAGCCACCUGGUCUGACCCGAAGACGUUCUGUAGGUGAGUAAGUGCUUUUGAAGAGAGUUUGGUGUACUGGAGCCAGUCCACUUAGAAGACAGGAUCGGGCCAGAAAUUCUAGCAGCACACGGAGGGGACAUAGAGAUGCGUUGUCCAUGUGUCGGAAUUUUAUUCGGAGAAGGUCCGUGCGUCCGCAGCUGUGCUACGGGGCCACCCUGCUGGUCCCACGGCAGACUUUUCCAGCCACGUUGAAGUGCUGUCCGGUCGUCUUAGGACGCAACUUUGAUGAGAAGCACGAUGCUUGUGCUGAGCUGUGUCGCCUUCUCCAUACAGAGGUCCCGCUGGGGUUUCCGAGGAGCCGACCUCCCACCCACUCUGAGGACCUCUGUGGUGGUGCCGGCUGAUGCCAAGGGUGGUGAUGGCUUCUCGGGGAUGGGGAGCGCACUCUGGUUGAGCUUGUUUUCUCUGUCACGUAGGAAAUAAAUUCAGAGCAGUUUUCACAAAGACCCAGAAAGGCCUGGCUGGAGCCCGCAGGAAGGAGCCUGUGCUCGUGGGGCAGUGGACGCAGGCGCUGGGCAGGCCGAGAGUGCCCAUCUGCUCCGGUGUGCCCAGAAACAAGAGGCACCGGGGCUUGCUGGAAAGAGCCUUUGCUUUGAUGUGGUUUGGGUGCUGGCCGUCUGGACGGGACCGCGGAGCAGCGCGGUUCUGGUCCCGAGGGGCUGGGUGUCCUGUGUCUCGGCGGUCAGCCCUGUGCAGGCAGAGGAAGCCCGGCGUCCGGCCCAUCCUGUGGACAGCGUCCACGCAGGAGGUGCCGACAUGGCCACAGGAGCUUGAGGUCCUCAGCGCUUUCUUCCACCUGCCACCCAGACGGCAACCGCUCCUCCCCAGAGAGCCGUCGGCUGGCCGCCCCCACCCCCCCCCCCCCCCCCCCCCCCCGGCCUGUCCCUGACGCUUUGGAACUCGGACGUGUGGCUGUCGGAAAAGCUUCAGUGUUUCCAGACGUGCCUCACGGCUCUGACCCUUCACUGGGGUCGGACGGACGGGGUGCACGGCGGGUCCCAAUCAGCUGCCGUGGGGGACUUGGGCGUGGGGGCCUCGUUUCUUUCUUUGCCAGGGAAGUUGGCGAGUGUGGUUUUCUGGCUGUAUUUUACUCUCGUUUAAUGGUACUAGAGGUGGAGUGAAGUUUGUUUAAGUUUUUACAUGAUGGUAUUUUUAUUUGAAGUUAAAACGUUUUGGGGUUUUUUGUGUUGUGUUUUGCACGUGGGAGGCCUUUGUUUCAUGAUUUCCCCGCGUGUGAUGACAGUGAUGCAGGUCUGGCUCCCACGGGAAGGUCUGCUCGGCAUCGCCUCCUGCUGGUUCCACGAGGCCAAGUGGCUCCAUGGAUCUUGUCCCUUGAACCUGAAAGCCAGUUUUACUGGAAGGAGAAGGGUGGUAGUUGUUACUUGUCUACCAAGAAAUGAUUCAUUGUUUUUUCAGAUCAGCGACAUCGGAUGCCGUUUUAUUCACAGUGCUUGUGGGGUACGCUCGCUCCUUGAGGUCAGUCUCUAAGAUGAAAAAGUCAAGUAUAUGUUUGAAAAGCAUUUGCUCAAAUGAGUUACCUUCAAAUUGUUUGCGACACCGUACAGAUGCAUCAUUGUCCCCACCACUUGGUGAGGCGGCUGGCACGGACACGGUGGCCCGGGUCUCGCACUGGGACCCUCUGCGGCACUCUGUGCUCGCAUUCGGCAGAGGCGACUUAGAACUCGAUGUAAGACUCUACUUCCAUCGCUUCUAGAGUUAGCAGACACGCGUAAAGGACAGUAUUUCUGCCAAACCAAUUAUUAAUUCGUUAACAGCCAAAGAACAUAGCAUAACGUGGUUGGUAACUCUCACGUUACAGAAAUCCACGGCUGACGGCUAAUCGCUGACACACGUCCCAGGCUCACACCACCUAGUCCCGCUGGCUCUCUCCCCCUUUCCAGCCUGCGCUGCAGACGUACGGACAGCUGGGGGGGCUCUCCCACAGUCUGUGCAGGUCUCGUCCUUCCAGAAGGUUCCCCCAGUCUCACUGCAGCGUCGGGACAGACGGCACUAAAAUGCUCUGGGGCACUGGCACACAUGAAAGGUGCUUGUGGUGUCGGCGGACCCGGGCGGGGUCCCCUUCAGCCCCGGGCAGGCGUGUGGCCGGGACAGAAGUCUGGGGCGUUGCUGACCCGAGGACGUCCUGUCCUGUGGAAGCUAGUGGGUCAUCUCCCCCAUGUGGCCAGCGGUGGCUCUGGCACCUGGGGUGUAAUAUAGGAUGUGCACCCCCUGUGUUCCCUGCAGUGGGGUCAUGGCCCUGCCCCCUAACCUUGCUCUAGGAGCCACCUCCCCUGUGUCUCGUACGUGGUUUUGUCUCCUGUUUCACACGAAGCUGGAGUGAACACCACGUGUGCUGGUCGUGCUGGUGUGUGGGUGUGCUCCUCACGUGCGUUUCUAGGCCGGCACUUGGUGGCCUCGUGCCUCCGUGGAAGGCCGAAUGGUUUUCCGUGAGAGCAGGUGAUGACGCUCAUUUGCUGUGGCACAGUGUUUGGUGGCAGCUAACGGCCAACACGACAGGUGAAUGUUGGUGUCGCCGUGGCUUCAUUUUAACGUGCUUUUCUCUUCUGACGGGCUGUGCCCUGGGCCUCAGACGGAGGAAAAGGAGCUCGCCGGUCACCAGGCCGCAGCAGCUGCCCUGGCCAGAGAGGCGGGACCCGACCGCUUCCACUCAAGGGAAGACGCCCAGGAGCGCGGCCCGACGUCCGAGCUCACAGAGCGACUCCCGGCGGCCACCCCAGGCGCGCUCCGGGCCGGAGGAGCCGUGCGGGAGGACGAGAGCUAGUACACGGACAGCGCUGAGAAGGGCAGCGAGGAAGAAGAUGUGCUCCGGGGGUCCGUCCGAACCACGGAAGAGAGAACGAGCAGGGGAGCGCGCGCUCAGAGACGCGGGGCCCCGGUUAGCGCACCGACCUUCCCACAGCGGGAGCCGUCGGAGCGCGGAGGGGAGGGGCAGGGGCAGAAAACCUCCCAGAUCGGAGAGAAGACGUUCUAACACUUCCCGAAAUCUUGAUGGACUCCAAGCGGGCUCAGCACAGAGAGCCACACCCAGACGCAUCUCGGUGGAAGCGCGCAAGGCAGACAAGGGCGCCGCGGGCCUUGCCGGCAGCCGCUUCUCAUCAGACGCCGCCCAGGCCCCAGGCCCCGGGGCGGCACGCUGCCACACGGGAGAGAAGGCCAGAGAGAAGGCCGUCAGCCAGGCGGAGCUGUGGCGCAAACGAAGCUCGGAGAAGACGUCCCGGCCGAGAACUGAGAGAACUCGCUGCCCUCGCGGGAAACCCCAAAGGGAGCUCCUCGGUCACGGAGCCGAUGACCCGGACAGAGCUGAGAACCCUCAUCCACGCGGAUGGCAGCGAGCCCCGUGAGGGUGAGCGGGCGAUCGGCAGGCAGGAAGAAUUCCGAGUUCUCUCCUUUCUUCACCGAGUGGAGAGAAAAAGCAGUUGAGUGAGGCAGCGUGGACGCAACCGUCGGGCCCGUGGCGUGGAGAAGCGCGAUGCUUGCCGGCGCCCGCGCCGAGGCCGUGGGAACGAGAGGCUUCGGGAGACGUGGCGAGCGGGCGGGCCGGCGGGACGUGCUGUGAGCCUCUCCCCUCAGCCGCUCCGCAGGACGCAAAGGGACGGAAGGUAGCGACCGUGGCCGCGUGCGGCACGCGUAGGUGGACCGUGCGUGACAGGAGUAGUGCAGGAAGGAAGCACGGGUUCUGAGCCGGGCGGCGAGUCUGCACCGGCGUGCGACCAGGGAAACCGCCGUCGGUUGUGAGGGCGUGACGCGGGGUCCUGGCGGGGAAGGAAGUCCGAGGGGACGGGACGGCCCCCGUCCUGGGGCGUCACGUGGGGUGUGCUGGUUUCGUGCGGAGGAGGCAGGAAGGAAGGAGCAGGAUCAGAAGUGCACGAGGGCCGGGGUGAACGUGCACGUAACCAGCAUGAGUGGGUCGUGUGACCCGUGACCCGAGAACAGAUGGUGACCCGUUUGCCGGUCACGGGGAGGACUCCUUCCUCAGGGCCCUGCACAGUGUGGGGUCGCAGCGAGCGCCCGUGAGCCCACCCGCCUGCCGACAGAGGUGCCCGUGAGGCUGCACGAGGACGUGAGGACGUGGACGGGGAGGUGACGAAGAGGGGCACCGGCGGCCGUCCUGCCCUUCCCUGCGAGGUGUUAGAAGUCGUCUCAUUACGUGUAACUUCGCGUCAGUCGUCAGGCUUUCCAAAACCAGUCACGUCGAAGGGGAUCCAAACGCUUGUGCUUUGGGGACCGUCCCUCCCCCGCCCUGACACCUGCGUGUUGACUGCCGACCACGGGUCCCUGAAGGCACGCGUGCUGAAGCCGCUGCCUGCGUGGGCCGUCCCACGAGGGCGCUUGUCGGAAAGCGGGGGCUCCCGUAGGUCUCGAGACGCUUGUGGAAAUUUCACCUCGGACUGGCGUUCGGUGACAGGAGCCUGCCUGUCCGUCGGGAAAGCAGCACAGCCUUCUUGCCGCCCGUCAGGCUGGGGCGCCCGGAGCCCCGAGCCCACCUCUUGUUCACCCGCGUUUGGGGAGCGUGCUCCAUGCGGGAUUGUGGCAAAACCACCGAAUCAAGUAUGCUGUUUUUUAACCUUGCCCAUCUGUCAGAGUGAGAGGCCUCGAUUUUGUUCCGGGCCCUUCCGUGUCCUGGUCGCACAGAGCAGGGCUUCUUGUGCUCAUCCGUGUCCAGGACUCACUGAGGACACGCUUCAUGCCCCAGCCGCCACUCCCGUCAUCUACUCGAUAAGCCUGAUUGCCGGGCAACCAGGUUACUCCGGGUUAGGUACUCACUCGCACUCGCACUCGCUAAGCCUGGCUUCCCUGAGCGAGACACCCGUCCUGCCCAGGAUAGGUGAGUCCUGCUGCCGGGCCAGGUGGAGCCAGCACCCUGGGGGCCACCGCCGCUGUGACGGCACGAAGCACGCGUUCGGGGUUGGCUGCCCCCCCCCCCCCCCCCCCCGCGGCCCGGGCAAGGCCCGAGCCCGUGGGUCAGGUGACCUGGUUGCCUGUGUCCCCACUCACGGCGAGGAGUGGGUUCCCUGCAGUUGUGCCUGAGGCGCCGGCCGCUGCUGGCAUCCGUCCUCAUAGGUGAGCAGGCGCCCACUGUGCCCACUGGUGCCCACGCUUGCUUCGCGCCGUGCACGUGUUCGGUCCGUCUUGCGCGUCACCGUUCCGCAGGAUGCAGACCGGGCUGUCCCGCACCCGCACACACAGGAGAAGGGCUUGUUAGUCGAGACGGUGACCUCGCCGCAUACAGCCCUGUGGCUUUUUUUCUGCCGGGAAACCAAGCGGGUUUAACCGGUGAGCUGAAAAGUACAUGCCCUGUGGGCGCCGUUUGGGGGUCCUCCUUGGUCAGAUGCCGGCGUGUGUUUGCCUUGGUCCCUGAGACAUCCACGUCCGUAACUCGGCGCGCUUGGGGCGCCAGUGGAAGUGUGUACUCGGAAGCUGCAGCGUCCGGGAGGAAGUUUGUUCCUGUUCGUGCUAUUUCCCGCCUUGAGCGUGGGAGGGUUUUUUCCACCCUGAACAUGAGAGGGUUUCCAGCUCUCAGUUUUGUCCACGUUAAAUCUGUUUGCGUUUCUCCGGAACCGCACACGUGGCUGUAAAAACAACAUAAACGUGUGCUGUGCUGAGGGGAGACGAAGCUUUGAUCGUUCACAGGCGUUUGUUAGCCGUGACCUGCAGGCCUGAGAUGAUUUUUAAUUACUAAAAUUUAAUCGUGUAUAAAAAUUUAUUCUCCGAAUGUUA